rnacentral:sRNA from 1 species
AGACAUUAUUGCUGGGCUUAGCACCUAAAAAUGUUUUAUAUACUGGAGCAUCUGAAAGUUCCUAUUCAGUAGCAGAACUUCAGGGUAAUUGAGGUUUAUAAUCUGGUCAGUUAUAAUAACAUUGCUAGCAUAUUUCAAUUUUUUGGAUUUGUCUAUUAUUUGACAAUAUAAUUUUUAUUGUCUUUGUCUAUGUCAGAUCUUUAAAUUGGCUAUUGUUUUGUGCUUAUGGAAAAAUACUUUAAUUCUCAAAAACAGUGAUUUCUUUUUUGUUUUUGCCUCUUUAUAAGGAAUAGCAAAUAGAAGUGCUAGUAUUUACUAGAUGCAGUGAUUGCUACAGUUGGUUUUAAGUAAAACAGAUUGUUUUUGAUUAUUUUGAAAUCAGCCCCUAAGGCUCAUACAUGGUUGGGCCUCAGAUUUUGCUAUAAGCUUCCUGUCAUCUGUCAUAUGAGAGGGAUGCUGUGUGAAUCAGUUAUGUAUAUUCCUGUUCUUUAACAUUGCUAAAUUUUUACCAUUAAAAUUUAUGUUGGUUUCUGUUUUCUU